rnacentral:sRNA from 1 species
UUACCAGAGAUGGCGGGCCUCCGCGCCCCCGUCCCCAACCCUUUGUUGACAACACCCUUUUGCCUCGGGGGCAGAGCGUCCGCCGCCGCCCCCGGAGGACCACCGAACGCUGUCUCUAUACGUCGGAGUAUUGAUUAAAUGAAUGAAAACUUUCAACAACGGAUCUCUUGGUUCUGGCAUCGAUGAAGAACGCAGCGAAAUGCGAUAAGUAAUGUGAAUUGCAGAAUUCANUGAAUCAUCGAAUCUUUGAACGCACAUUGCGCCCUUUGGCAUUCCGAAGGGCAUGCCCGUUCGAGCGUCAUUAAAUCCAAUCAAGCCUGGCUUGGUAUUGGGCGACGGGGUCCCCCGCGUCUCAAUUUCACCGGCUGGCCGUCGCCCGUCUUAGCGUUGUGACACACGUUUCGCUACCGAUGGGACCGGACCACGCCGUCAGAACCUCCCGAAUUUCAAUCGAAAUUCGAUUAAACAGUUGACCUCGGAUCGGGUAGGAAUACCCGCUGAACUUAAGCAUAUCAAUAAGCGGAGGAAAAGAAACCAACAGGGAUUGCCCUAGUAACGGCGAGUGAAGCGGCAACAGCUCAAAUUUGAAAUCUGGCGCAAGCCCGAGUUGUAAUUUGUAGAGGAUGCUUCUGGGCAGCGGCCGGUCUAAGUUCCUUGGAACAGGACGUCAUAGAGGGU